rfam:Dipodomys ordii contig_54410, whole genome shotgun sequence.
GGGAAGAUGGCUCAGUGGUAGAGCGCUUGCUUGCAUGCAUGAGGUCCUGGGUUCGAUUCCUUAUUACCA